GAUGAACGCUAGCUACAGGCUUAACACAUGCAAGUCGAGGGGUAGCACGGAGGAAGCUUGCUUCCUUGGGUGACGACCGGCGCACGGGUGAGUAACGCGUAUCCGACCUACCCAUAACUCGGGCACAGCCCCUCGAAAGAGUGAUUGAUUCCCGAUAUGUCCUUGGAGUAGAUUCAAUGAUGAAAGAUUUAUCGGUUAUGGAUGGGGAUGCGUAAGAUUAGGUAGUAGGCGGGGUAACGGCCCACCUAGCCGACGAUCUUUAGGGGUUCUGAGAGGAAUGUCCCCCACACUGGUACUGAGACACGGACCAGACUCCUACGGGAGGCAGCAGUGAGGAAUAUUGGUCAAUGGGCGGAAGCCUGAACCAGCCGAGUAGCGUGAAGGAUUACAGCCCUACGGGUUUUAAACUUCUUUUAUAUAAGAGUAAUGUGCACUACGUGUAGUGUAUUGCAAGUAUUAUAUGAAUAAGCAUCGGCUAACUCCGUGCCAGCAGCCGCCGUAAGAC
rnacentral:rRNA from 1 species